rnacentral:rRNA from 1 species
UACGGAGGGGGCAAGCGUUACUCGGAAUUAUUGGGCGUAAAGGGCGCGUAGGCGGUCUUGUGCGUCGGAGGUGAAAUCCCCGGGCUUAACCCGGGAGCUGCAUUCGAGACUGCAUUGCUAGAGUAUGGGAGAGGGAAGUGGAAUUUCCGGUGUAGCGGUGAAAUGCGUAGAUAUCGGAAGGAACAUCAGUGGCGAAAGCGACUUACUGGACCAAUACUGACGCUCAUGUGCGAAAGCGUGGGGAGCAAACAGG